UACGGGGGGGGGCAAGCGUUGUUCGGAAUUACUGGGCGUAAAGGGCGCGUAGGCGGCGUGGUAAGUCACUUGUGAAAUCUCUGAGCUUAACUCAGAACGGCCAAGUGAUACUGCUGUGCUAGAGUGCAGAAGGGGCAAUCGGAAUUCUUGGUGUAGCGGUGAAAUGCGUAGAUAUCAAGAGGAACACCUGAGGUGAAGACGGGUUGCUGGGCUGACACUGACGCUGGGGCGCGAAAGCCAGGGGAGCAAACGGGG
rnacentral:rRNA from 1 species